rnacentral:rRNA from 1 species
UACGUAGGGCGCGAGCGUUGUCCGGAAUUAUUGGGCGUAAAGAGCUCGUAGGCGGCUGGUUGCGUCUGCUGUGAAAUCCCGGGGCUUAACCCCGGGCGUGCAGUGGAUACGGGCCGGCUGGAGGCAGGCAGGGGAGAAUGGAAUUCCCGGUGUAGCGGUGAAAUGCGCAGAUAUCGGGAGGAACACCAGUAGCGAAGGCGGCUCGCUGGGCCAUUCCUGACGCUGAGACGCGAAAGCUAGGGGAGCGAACAGG